rnacentral:rRNA from 1 species
GUGCCAGCAGCCGCGGUAACACGUAGGAUCCGAGCGUUAUCCGGAUUUACUGGGCGUAAAGCGCGUGUAGGUGGUUUGCUAAGUUGGGUGUUAAAUCUCUCGGCUCAACUGGGAGGUGUCGCUCAAAACUAGCAGACUGGAGGAUGGUAGAGGAAGGUGGAAUUCCGGGUGUAGUGGUGAAAUGCGUAGAUAUCCGGAGGAACACCAGUGGCGAAGGCGGCCUUCUGGACCAUUCCUGACACUCCAACGCGAAAGCUAGGGGAGCAAACGGGAUUAGAAACCCUCGUAGUCC